ACCUGGCUGGCUCAGUAGGUAAAGCAUGCAAUUCUUGAUCUCAGGGUCAUGAGUUCGAGCCUCUUGUUGGGUG
rnacentral:tRNA from 1 species